rnacentral:rRNA from 1 species
UGGUUAAGCUAUAAAGAGCGCAGGGUGGAUGCCUUGGCACUAAGAGCCGAUGAAAGACGUGAUAAGCUGCGAAAAGCUUCGGGGAGGAGCAAAUAUCCUUUGAUCCGGAGAUAUCUGAAUGGGGAAACCUGGCUGAGCAAACCUCAGUCGGCGUAUGGUGAAUACAUAGCCAUACGUUGGGAACCCGCUGAACUGAAACAUCUAAGUAGGCGGAGGAAAAGAAAGAAAACUCGAUUUCCAAAGUAGCGGCGAGCGAAAUGGAAGGAGCCUAAACCGGCG